rnacentral:rRNA from 1 species
AGAAUCAACGCUGGCGGCGUGCCUAACACAUGCAAGUCGCACGAGAAAGGGACUUCGGUCCUGAGUACAGUGGCGCACGGGUGAGUAACACGUGAAUAAUCUACCUCCGAGUGGGGAAUAACUGAGAGAAAUCUUAGCUAAUACCGCAUAACACUUACGAGUCAAAGCAGCAAUGCGCUUGGAGAGGAGUUCGCGGCAGAUUAGUUAGUUGGCGGGUAAUGGCCCACGAAGACGAUGAUCUGUA